rnacentral:tRNA from 1 species
AUUUAAAUAGCUUAAAAUUAAAGUUUAAUAUUGAAAAUAUUAAAUUAGAAUUAUUAUUUUUAAAUAAAUUUGAAUA